rnacentral:rRNA from 1 species
CCUACGGGUGGCAGCAGUAGGGAAUAUUGCUCAAUGGGGGAAACCCUGAAGCAGCAACGCCGCGUGGAGGAUGAAGGUUUUCGGAUUGUAAACCCCUUUUGAUAGGGAAGAAACUGACGGUAUCUAACGAAUAAGCACCGGCUACCUCCGUGCCAGCAGCCGCGGUAAUACGGAGGGUGCAAGCGUUACUCGGAAUCACUGGGCGUAAAGAGCGCGUAGGCGGGAUAGCAAGUCAGAUGUGAAAUCCUAGGGCUUAACCCUAGAACUGCAUUUGAAACUGUUAUUCUAGAGUAUGGGAGAGGUAGGUGGAAUUCGUGGUGUAGGGGUAAAAUCCGUAGAGAUCAAGAGGAAUACUCAUUGCGAAGGCGACCUGCUAGAACAUAACUGACGCUGAUGCGCGAAAGCGUGGGGAGCAAACAGGAUUAGAUACCCUUGUAGUC